GCCCCUUUUAUAUUGUACUACUGAUAACCCAGUUAUUAAAGCAGUGCAAUGUUAAAAGGGCAU
rnacentral:pre_miRNA from 1 species